rnacentral:rRNA from 1 species
UUGAACGCUGGCGGCAUGCUUUACACAUGCAAGUCGAACGGCAGCGCGGGCUUCGGCCUGGCGGCGAGUGGCGAACGGGUGAGUAAUGCAUCGGAACGUGCCCAGUAGUGGGGGAUAGCCCGGCGAAAGCCGGAUUAAUACCGCAUACGACCUGAGGGUGAAAGCGGGGGACCGAAAGGCCUCGCGCUAUUGGAGCGGCCGAUGUCGGAUUAGCUAGUUGGUGGGGUAAAGGCUUACCAAGGCGACGAUCCGUAGCUGGUCUGAGAGGACGACCAGCCACACUGGGACUGAGACACGGCCCAGACUCCUACGGGAGGCAGCAGUGGGGAAUUUUGGACAAUGGGGGCAACCCUGAUCCAGCCAUGCCGCGUGCGGGAAGAAGGCCUUCGGGUUGUAAACCGCUUUUGUUCGGGAAGAAAUCCUCUGGGCUAAUACCCCGGGGGAUGACGGUACCGGAAGAAUAAGCACCGGCUAACUACGUG